CGCAUGUAGAUAUCGGUCUUCUCCCGACAUGCGCUCUGAUGACGGUUCCAUUUCCGCCAACUUAGGGUGAGAGUUAAGAGCCGGAGCCCUGUUGCCACCUGCAAAAUGCCUUAGCAACAUGUGGCAACUAUCUGCCCGAAGCAAGUUGCAAGCCAGCCCAGUUCAGGUUGCCACAUGCCAUGCUGGGUAUUCCCAGCGCGCUAGCGCACCUGCUUGGGCAGCUCGCUAUGGCUGCCGUCGACAGUUGACCCUGGUAUGCCAUCGCUAGAGUCGCAGCCCGCUCCGGCCAACCUCGCUCCUCCGCAACCGACACACGAACCCGACGUCACUUGAUCCCACAAUUCCAGCGACUUUUGCGACCGGCUCUCCACCGACCGCUUGGAUGCUUGCGCCCGGUCGCUGCCCCAGCUACUUCCGCGGUGAAAUAACAACGGUGAGCACUCUCAACCACUGCGAGGACAGCCCUAGCAACCGCACUGCGUAAGAAGUACAGCAUCGAUUUGCUGCAUGUUGAUUUUGGCGCAAAUGGGGGGUGCAAGCAGUUUGUUUCUCUCAGACGCGAGCUAGCGCCCAAGCGCGCGAUAUGGGGGCGAGGAGCCACUAUGUAGCUGUAACGAUUGCAUGAGUGGCGAAUUUUACUUCGAGGGUCUAGGGUGCGAGCGGAGUGGGAUUACCCCCCGAGGGGCACGCCAUGCGCUCAGGCCCCAUGCAACAGAAAUUCGCCGGGCACCAACCCACGCACAGAUAAUUCAUAGGACUACACCAUAGCCAUCAGAGACCGGCCGGGAACAAGCCCCGCAAGCGGGGCAGCAUGGGCGCGACACCACCCUGCCGCGCCAACUCACCCCAAACACGCCCCAACCACUUGUGCGACACAAGGGCUACCAUACAGUAGCGCGCGACACCUAAUCGCGUGCGCCGGAGUGUGCGAGCAAACAUUGUACGGAGGAGCUCGUUUGGGCCCUAGGACGCAGGGCCUGGGCUGGCAUUUGGUGCAUUCAAUAGAGCAUAGAAAACCGAGGCCACAUAUGUGCUCGGGUGCGCAAAGGUCGGCGGAAUUGUGGGAUCAAGUGACGUGGAAAUGGAUCUGGGGGACUGCGGGGUUUUGGGGUGUGUUGGGUUGGUGGCGUGAAGGGUGUGAUUUGUGAGGAAUUUAUCGAUGCAUGCCAAGUUGCACGCCUUUCCCCUGUGUUUCCUACAUGCCCCUGAACCCUCCCUUUGCUGGCUGCAGGCGAAGCGACAAGUGGUACCGCUGGUACCACCCACGGGGGCCUUGUGCCCAAGCCGUGGUGGCGCAUGGUAACUAUACACGUGGCGGUCAUCGACAUUGCUUUGUGCCGGCGCGCAGCACCCAGGAUGUGCGGCGAUCGCUGAAAUGCAGUUGUGGGGUCCACACUCAUAUGGCACCCACGCCCCACACAGCACUGAUGCAGGGCUCCUGCAGCCGUCACGCCAUGGGAAUCAGCAUAUGGGCAGUGGCCUGUGCAUACUUCUCUGUGGCCUGGCGGGGCAUCUGGCCAGGGCGUUUGACUAGCGGCAUGGGGCCUGCACGCCGGUAGGGGGGCGCAGGCCCAAAAUGAUGCAAGGAAGCUGAUGUGUUGCGUGAGGUGCGCAGCGGUUCCUGAUGGACGUGGGUGCUUUCAUGCGUAUGUAUAUUGGCUAUGUGUGUUGAUCUUUGCACCAGGGUGGUGUCGCCGCGCAGCGGAGCAUUGGUGUUGGUGCACGGGGCGUGAACAUUGGGGCCCGCAGUUGGGAUCGCGCCGGCACGGUCGCGGGCACCGCUGAAGAUAUGUUGGCGCGACCGGUCGCUUAUGGUGCACGCUAAUACCCGCAUACUGUGUGUAAGCACCGAUUGCAAUUAUAAGUUGCGCAUGUAGAUAUCGGUCUUCUCCCGACAUGCGCUCUGAUGACGGUUCCAUUUCCGCCAACUUAGGGUGAGAGUUAAGAGCCGGAGCCCUGUUGCCACCUGCAAAAUGCCUUAGCAACAUGUGGCAACUAUCUGCCCGAAGCAAGUUGCAAGCCAGCCCAGUUCAGGUUGCCACAUGCCAUGCUGGGUAUUCCCAGCGCGCUAGCGCACCUGCUUGGGCAGCUCGCUAUGGCUGCCGUCGACAGUUGACCCUGGUAUGCCAUCGCUAGAGUCGCAGCCCGCUCCGGCCAACCUCGCUCCUCCGCAACCGACACACGAACCCGACGUCUGACGUGGAAAUGGAUCUGGGGGACUGCGGGGUUUUGGGGUGUGUUGGGUUGGUGGCGUGAAGGGUGUGAUUUGUGAGGAAUUUAUCGAUGCAUGCCAAGUUGCACGCCUUUCCCCUGUGUUUCCUACAUGCCCCUGAACCCUCCCUUUGCUGGCUGCAGGCGAAGCGACAAGUGGUACCGCUGGUACCACCCACGGGGGCCUUGUGCCCAAGCCGUGGUGGCGCAUGGUAACUAUACACGUGGCGGUCAUCGACAUUGCUUUGUGCCGGCGCGCAGCACCCAGGAUGUGCGGCGAUCGCUGAAAUGCAGUUGUGGGGUCCACACUCAUAUGGCACCCACGCCCCACACAGCACUGAUGCAGGGCUCCUGCAGCCGUCACGCCAUGGGAAUCAGCAUAUGGGCAGUGGCCUGUGCAUACUUCUCUGUGGCCUGGCGGGGCAUCUGGCCAGGGCGUUUGACUAGCGGCAUGGGGCCUGCACGCCGGUAGGGGGGCGCAGGCCCAAAAUGAUGCAAGGAAGCUGAUGUGUUGCGUGAGGUGCGCAGCGGUUCCUGAUGGACGUGGGUGCUUUCAUGCGUAUGUAUAUUGGCUAUGUGUGUUGAUCUUUGCACCAGGGUGGUGUCGCCGCGCAGCGGAGCAUUGGUGUUGGUGCACGGGGCGUGAACAUUGGGGCCCGCAGUUGGGAUCGCGCCGGCACGGUCGCGGGCACCGCUGAAGAUAUGUUGGCGCGACCGGUCGCUUAUGGUGCACGCUAAUACCCGCAUACUGUGUGUAAGCACCGAUUGCAAUUAUAAGUUGCGCAUGUAGAUAUCGGUCUUCUCCCGACAUGCGCUCUGAUGACGGUUCCAUUUCCGCCAACUUAGGGUGAGAGUUAAGAGCCGGAGCCCUGUUGCCACCUGCAAAAUGCCUUAGCAACAUGUGGCAACUAUCUGCCCGAAGCAAGUUGCAAGCCAGCCCAGUUCAGGUUGCCACAUGCCAUGCUGGGUAUUCCCAGCGCGCUAGCGCACCUGCUUGGGCAGCUCGCUAUGGCUGCCGUCGACAGUUGACCCUGGUAUGCCAUCGCUAGAGUCGCAGCCCGCUCCGGCCAACCUCGCUCCUCCGCAACCGACACACGAACCCGACGUCAGACGUGGAAAUGGAUCUGGGGGACUGCGGGGUUUUGGGGUGUGUUGGGUUGGUGGCGUGAAGGGUGUGAUUUGUGAGGAAUUUAUCGAUGCAUGCCAAGUUGCACGCCUUUCCCCUGUGUUUCCUACAUGCCCCUGAACCCUCCCUUUGCUGGCUGCAG
rnacentral:lncRNA from 1 species